rnacentral:pre_miRNA from 1 species
AAAAAGGCAAACAUUAAAUUUUCGUGCCAAUAUUUGACUAUCUGUCUUAUAUGAAAAUUUUUUAUAAUUAGUAUUUUUAUUGUUGUUAGAUGAUAAAACAUGAUUAAUACUUUAUGUGUGACUUGUCUUUUUAAAUUUUUUUAUAAUUUUUUUAAAUAAGACGGACGGUUGGACGGAGGGAGUAGUACCCAAA